AACGAACGCUGGCGGCAUGCCUAACACAUGCAAGUCGAACGAGACCUUCGGGUCUAGUGGCGCACGGGUUCGUAACGCGUGGGAACCUGCCCUUAGGUUCGGAAUAACUCCCCGAAAGGGGUGCUAAUACCGGAUAAUGUCUUCGGACCAAAGAUUUAUCGCCUUUGGAUGGGCCCGCGUUGGAUUAGCUAGUUGGUAGGGUAAAAGCCUACCAAGGCGACGAUCCAUAGCUGGUCUGAGAGGAUGAUCAGCCACACUGGGACUGAGACACGGCCCAGACUCCUACGGGAGGCAGCAGUGGGGAAUAUUGGACAAUGGGCGAAAGCCUGAUCCAGCAAUGCCGCGUGAGUGAUGAGGGUAUUAGGGUUGUAAAGCUCUUUUACCCGGGAUGAUAAUGACAGUACCGGGAGAAUAAGCUCCGGCUAACUCCGUG
rnacentral:rRNA from 1 species